rnacentral:rRNA from 1 species
CCUACGGGAGGCAGCAGUGAGGAAUAUUGGUCAAUGGGCGCGAGCCUGAACCAGCCAAGUCGCGUGAGGGAAGACGUUCCUCUGUAUUGUAAACCUCUUUUGUCGGGGAGCAAAAGACGCCACGCGUUGCGUUCCGAGUGUACCCGAAGAAAAAGCAUCGGCUAACUCCGUGCCAGCAGCCGCGGUAAUACGGAGGACGCGAGCGUUAUCCGGAUUUAUUGGGUUUAGAGGGUGCGCAGGCGGAAGAUCAAGUCAGAGGUAAAAUUGAGAGGCUCAACCUCUUCGAGCCGUUGAAACGGGUUUUCGUGAGUGAGUGAGAAGUAUGCGGAAUGCGUGGUGUAGCGGUGAAAUGCAUAGAUAGCACGCAGAACUCCGAUUGCGAAGGCAGCAUACCGGCGCUCAACUGACGCUCAUGCACGAAAGUGUGGGUAUCGAACAGGAUUAGAUACCCCUGUAGUC